CCUACGGGUGGCAGCAGUCGAGAAUCAUUCACAAUGGGGGAAACCCUGAUGGUGCGACGCCGCGUGGGGGAAUGAAGGUCUUCGGAUUGUAAACCCCUGUCAUGUGGGAGCAAAUUAAAAAGAUAGUACCACAAGAGGAAGAGACGGCUAACUCUGUGCCAGCAGCCGCGGUAAUACAGAGGUCUCAAGCGUUGUUCGGAAUCACUGGGCGUAAAGCGUGCGUAGGCUGUUUCGUAAGUCGUGUGUGAAAGGCGCGGGCUCAACCCGCGGACGGCACAUGAUACUGCGAGACUAGAGUAAGGGAGGGGGAACCGGAAUUCUCGGUGUAGCAGUGAAAUGCGUAGAUAUCGAGAGGAACACUCGAGGCGAAGGCGGGUUCCUGGACAUUAACUGACGCUGAGGCACGAAGGCCAGGGGAGCGAAAGGGAUUAGAUACCCCGGUAGUC
rnacentral:rRNA from 1 species